GUGCGCACUUCGGCAGCACGUAUACUAAAACUGAAACGAUACAGACAAGAUUCGCAUGGUCCCUGCACAAGGAUGACAUGCAAAUUCGUGGAGCGUUCCGUAUUUUU
ensembl:snRNA U6 U6 spliceosomal RNA